GCGGACGUAGCUCAGUUGGUAGAGCCCCGGUUUGUGGUACCGGUUGUCGUGAGUUCGAGCCUCAUCGUCCGCCCCA
rnacentral:tRNA from 1 species